CUUCUUAGCCGCGGAUUUUUUCGCUUUGUACGCGGCUUUCCUUGCGGGCUUCUUGGCUUCGGUCUGCUUCUUGUUCAACUUGUAAGAGCUGUUUGGUCUUGUAAGAAACUUUGGUCUGCACCAGAGUGCCAGUGACAUCGAGCUUGACGCGGAAGUUGUUCUCCACAUCGUAUCCGCCGAUAGCCAAAUCUUUCUUCAGAGCGGCGAGAGACACGCAGCGCUUCUCCUUGAAGCCGCGUUCUCUUGGGCGCGUUGGCCAACGCGGGUGCGCGAGCGACUUCUGCCAUCUCUCUAGGAGCUAUACGUAGAAUUAACGAGUCAAACGCUGUGCAGUGUAACUCAGGAAACUCCCUCCCGGAGCCCGGGGGCUGGUCUCUCUCUCUCUCUCUCUCUCUCUCUCUCUCUCUCUCUCUCUCUCUCUCUCUCUCUCUCUCUCUGGCCAGAUUCACAUUCUCCUUUUGCGGUGCGUUUCCGUACACGGAUCAGUAGCGCACUGCAAACGCGUCUUAUGUGAAAGCACACUCUCUCUCUCUGCGGAUGGUGGAGGAGUGAGCGUGGCGUGUUGAGCCCGUGAGCGGUUGGCGUUUUGCCAUUUUUUCGGUAUUUAAUGCAACUUUUAAACGUGUAAACGUCUCGGAUUCAUAACGUUUGUUGUGUGAGGGAGUAACUCUUUGUAUGUGUAGCAUUCUGUGUAAACAUCUCGGAUGUUCCAUCUCGUGGAAAAAAUCCGCGAAAAAACCCCCAGCACUUUUUCUAUGCUCCACCCACAAAGGGCCGUCUCCGACUCCACACAGCGCUUCGACACACACACACACACACACACACACACCGUGUUACACACACCGUGCCAGCAAGUCAAACUCUCACAUAGCCGCUCACUCGGGCCGCCAUCCACCGCAACACACACACACCACACACACACACACACACACACACACACACACACACACACACACACACACACACACACACACACACCGUGUUACACACACCGUGCCAGCAAGUCAAACUCUCACAUAGCCGCUCACUCGGGCCGCCAUCCACCGCAACACACACACACCACACACACACACACACGCACACACACACACACACACACACACACACACACACACACACACACACACACACACACACAGGAGUGACUCAUGCAGAGCUGGAGAAUCAGGUUUACUCGGUUUAGUUAAGCUCAUUUAUCUGUGCGCUUCCUCAUACUGUAACAAAGACAUUGGAGAAAAACAAAACAUAGAUACAAAGCCUGCUAUUAAAAACAGCUUAAUAUUUCAUAAUAAAUAAUAUCGAAUUCUGAUAUUAAAAAAACUUUAUUAAUAGCCACAUUAAAUAAAUUAUAAACACAUUUUAAUGUAAGGGACUUUAUUAAGAAGAAUAAAUAUUUGUCUAGAACUCUGACACGGUUAUCCUUCGCCUUUCGACGCCGGGGUUGGACAAAUCGUUGUUCCACGGCAGCAUCGGGCCUUUAUGUUCAUGACUCAGUUUUCCACUGUUUUAUUUUAUUUAAUUUUAUUAUGUUAGUGUCACAUAACGAACUCAGACAUUAGACAACAUACACAGGCAUAUUUCCCAUGAACUAUGUGCAAUAUUUGUACACAAUAUUUCACCAAAAACAUGUACAAAAAGACAAUGAAAAAAAUCUAUAAUAAAUAACAAUAUAAUUAUAUUAAUACGGCUGUUUAUGAUUUUUCUCACAUGCGACAGGAUAGCUUACUUAAUGUAACGAAUAAUAGGAAAAAAUGGAAUAUAAAUAAUUUAACGGAAUAAAAUCAUCUGCUAAUUCCGACAGGCUUCGGCCCAUUUUCCAACCACGGUACUAUCUUUCCAAAUGGCGAUGUCGAAAAAUUCGGAAACCAUCAAAAAGAGAGAAAAUCAGUCGCCUUUCGACGGCGGUGUGGAACUAUUCGCUGUCCGACGUCGACGUUUUCCAGCAGCAGUGAAGGACUGUCCGCUUCUGAACGAUGGCAUUAAAUGUGCGCUUUCCAAAUGGCGGUGCUGAAGUAUUGCCUUUCUGACGUUGGUGUUCUCCCUCGGGUACAUACAGCGUUAUGACCACAGGCAGAAACCCCGCCUCUGUACUGUUUGAGAAGAGGUGGAAACGGUGCGCCUGAACGCGACCCAUAUCUUAUUGAUGGUUGUAAAACUUACCUGCGUUCAACCGAAUACCUAAACAGUCAGGAAUUUAGAGUGCUAUUGGCCCUUCAAGGUCGGUGUCGUAUUAUUGUCUUUCUAACAUUAGAUUCGGUUGAGAAAGAUGCCUUGCGAACCAGGAGCGACGUCUGAAUAGUUGGAGGAUUGGUAACUCCGACUCUUCUGCUCUAGCCAGAUGAACGCGUUGGAAGAGACGUAGAGACGGUGCGCAUAUACACUCGCAUCGUCCCAACCCCUCUGUGAGAAACGUCCAUGUAUUUCUCCACCUGUUCACAAGUCAGUCGCUGCUCACAUUUCCGUGGCGCACACACUGGAAAGUGUCAUCUUACAACCGCCGAUCAAACAUGAGUGGCCGUUCAGGCGCACCGUUUCCACCUCUUCUCAAACAGAAGUAGAGGCGGGUUUCUGCCUCUAGUCUCUCACUGUACGCUUCCGUGUUUCCGUGCAGUACAGACUGUAGGGCUGUGUGGUGUAUCCGACUUGCCGGUGGAGAGAAAAACUUUUUCAUACGGGCUUUCUAGUAUACAAAGAAGCGACGACUGCUUUUGUGGGAAACCUGCUCAUUUUGAUGGCUUACGUGUUUUGACGGUCAUUAUGAUCUGAUGAAUGAUGUUUUUCUACGUCUUUGUAUUAUGGACAGAAUUAAGGUUACAAGCAACAUCUCGAGAUUUCCUCAAACGCCUUCAUCUUGUAACAGCAGAAAAGUCAAAGUUGUCGUUAAUGCCACACGUCAUCACACGUCGCUCGUGGACGGACGGAUAUGUUACUCGUGUACGGACGGAUAUGAGUUCGCCGAUGCUAGGCCUGGCUUUGUUGGUCCUCGAAGCUGCUUUGUUCUUGCGCUUUGGCCGACGCGGUGGCAGGUGCGGGAGCGACAUCUGCCAUCUCUCUAGGAGCUAUACAUAGAACUAACGAGUCAAACGCUGUGCAGUGUAACUCAGGAACCUCCCUCCCCGAGGCCGGGGGCUGGUCUCUCUCUCUCUCUCUCUCUCUCUCUCUCUCUCUCUCUCUCUCUCUCUCUCUCUCUCUCUCUCUCUCUCUCUCUCUCUCUCUCUCUGCGAAUCUGGCGGAGGAGUGAGCGUGGCGUGUUGAGCGAGUUUGAGAGUUUGACUCUCCGGCACGGUGUGUGACACCGGUCGAAGCGCUGUGUGGAGUCGGAGGCGGUCAUUUGUGGGUGGAGCACAGAAGAACUGCGCGGUUUUUUUCCGCGGAUUUUUUCCGCGGAAGACUACAUAAGUGUCGUCUCUUUUCUCUGGUGCUCAGUACCCUGCUGAAGGACUGGUGAACUGUCGGACCUGGAAAGUGACAACGACGCUGGAAGCAAAAUACUUCGACACUGCCGAAGAAAGCACCCGUCGGGAUUCUACUAGCGAGGUGCCUUGAUUUACUUCAAUCAUUUCGGCUUCGGUGAAUCUUCCACCAGAAUUUCCUCUCCAAAACAAUAGAGUGCUACAGUGGUAAGAAAGUCUGAGAUUGAGGAACAAGACACAACAAUGGAGCAUUCCCACCUCACUGAGAUGGAGAGUCAGGAGGCCCUGAUACAAGCACUGGCAAAUCACCAACAGAUGCUGCAGAGCUUAAUGCAGCAACUGGAACCAUAUCGCAAGAAAGCCGUCUUGCAGGGGUCGGAGCAACAUCGCCAGAGGUUUCGCUCCUUGACCCUCAGUGAAUUUGACAAUCCUUUUGCAUUUGCUCAGCAGCUCCAGGUGAACUGUCAAAAGUGGUUGCUUGCUGAGGAUUGUGACCCUCGAAGGAUCGUGGAGCUUCUGGUAAUAGAGCAGUUCAUGAAACAGCUUCCAGAAGGGACUUCCGAUUGGGUUAAACAUCGUCAACCAGCAACAAUAAACGAGGCCAUCCAAUUGGCAGUGAACCACCUGCCACCUUUUGCUGUCUCUCCCCCUUAACAUCUCCCCUGCCUGAUACAUUGGAUAAGGUAGAGAGGGUGAAGUUGAGGUGUGUCAUGGGAUCUUUCACAAACAUCCACUGGUGCUGAUCAUGAUCACUUUCUGGGGACAAAACCAGGUCCGGUCUGUGGUUAGUCCUCGUUUGAACCAUCCACUGUUUUUGGAUUUUGUCAGUAUGAUCAAUAAACAAUCUUUUUCAAUGGUCAAUAAUCUGUAAUUGGCUAUGCUUUUCAUUAGUGUGGGGUUUUUCAUUUUUGUGGUUAAGGAAAGUGGUCUGUCUUUUGGGCUCUUCUCCUCCUCAUUCAAUUCUAAAGCUCUGCUGACCUGCUCCCAAGAGAAACCCUGAACUAUGUAGACAUGAUCAUAGAUGAGUUUAAUGUCAUAUGAUGACAGUCUGCCAUUCACAUGUGGAUUCAUGUUCAGUGUUAAAGAUGACCUUUCAGUCCUGAUUCAGGAGUUGUAUGCAGCUGAGUAGUACAGGUCUCCUACGCUGCACCCAGAUCCUGUUUGGAUUAUUUUAUAUUAUAAAUGUUCUUUGUCACACUGUUCUUCUGUUUCUGUUUGCCUAUUUUACAAAUAUGAUUUGAUAUCUGUUCAGUGUUACUUCAAAUAAAUAUGUUUAAAUAGCUUUAA